rnacentral:rRNA from 1 species
GAUGAACGCUGGCGGCGUGCCUAAUACAUGCAAGUCGAGCGAACGGACGAGAAGCUUGCUUUUCUGAUGUUAGCGGCGGACGGGUGAGUAACACGUGGAUAACCUACCUAUAAGACUGGGAUAACUUCGGGAAACCGGAGCUAAUACCGGAUAAUAUUUUGAACCGCGUGGUUCAAAAGUGAAAGACGGUCUUGCUGUCACUUAUAGAUGGAUCCGCGCUGCAUUAGCUAGUUGGUAAGGUAACGGCUUACCAAGGCAACGAUGCAUAGCCGACCUGAGAGGGUGAUCGGCCACACUGGAACUGAGACACGGUCCAGACUCCUACGGGAGGCAGCAGUAGGGAAUCUUCCGCAAUGGGCGAAAGCCUGACGGAGCAACGCCGCGUGAGUGAUGAGGGUCUUCGGAUCGUAAAACUCUGUUAUUAGGGAAGAACAUAUGUGUAAGUAACUGUGCACAUCUUGACGGUACCUAAUCAGAAAGCCACGGCUAACUACGUG